UGGGAGCCUUGGCCCAGGCAGCAGACGGACGGGGCGGGACGGGGGGAGGGGCCACCACCCGCCUGUGACCGCGCUCGGCACACAGCACGAGAACUGCCAGCGGAGCCCGCUUCACCUCCAGACCCGCAAGCAGGAGCCACGCUGUUGCGCGAACCACUGGUUUGGGGGGCACCGGGUAACGCACGCCCUGUCCCGCUCUCCGUAAAGGCCACCGGCUGUCCGUUCCCCCAGCCAAGUCCGGGGCCGCCUCUUCCGUCCUGCCUCACCCUCCGCAUCGACUGAGCGUUACCACGCGCGACAUUUUUUUUAGGCUUAUUUAUUUAUUUUGAGAGAGAACGAGAACCAGCAGGGGAGGGGCGGAGGGAGAGAGAAUCGGGGCCUUCCAUCCAGCAAACCCAACCGCGAGCCGGAGGCAGAGACCCCACGGAUGUGGCCCAUACGGGGCAGCUCCCAGGGCGCGACGCAGACAGGAGUGGCAGAAGGACAAGCCCGGGGAGACGUCCAGGGGAGUCUGACGAUGAACCCGCCAACGUCAUCCUGUCAGCGGCUGCUGAGAUAUCUGGGCAUCUAGGGCUGGAAGAAACCUCCCCCGAGGCUUCUUAGUCUUUGGGAGGAAGCGGGGGCCCCACCGAAGAUCUGAUAAAAUCCAGGGUUUCCUCGCAGCAAUCGGGGAGGAACCCCUGUUCCUCCAGCGGCCAUCGCCUCCAGUUCCCAGCAGCACAAACACCACUUGAAACAGCUUUCUGCCAGAAAGGGAAUUGACCGUCUCACGGAGCGGGUGUCAGCCGAUGUCCAGAUGCCAACAGGAUGUCAAGGAGCAGAGUUGGGAAGAGAAACGCCAUAGCACAUCACCACGUGGCACCAGCUGGAUAGAGCGGACACAACCUCCAGAGCAGAGAUUAAAAAAGCAAGGCAGCCGGCAGGAAGCGGCCUGGACGGUCCAGCCUCACCACAAAGCCUUGCAUACCUGGCGGGGACCCUGCGGGAUCGACUGUCACCGACUGGCAAGACGCCCCGGACACUUGAUUGUUGAUCCUGCUGAUGGCCGCUGACAGCCGCUGGGCACCGAUUCGGUGCCCGCGGGCCCGGCGAUCGUCACACGCUGUUGAUGUAAUUAGCGGCCAUCCCAUGACACCGUUGCUACCAUUGUGACCCAUUUCUACAGAUGAGACAAGUGAGCUCAGUCAGCAGCACACAGCUCGGAGGCAGAGGCUCGGGGGGAGCUCAGGUUUGCCCGGCGGCCAGGCUCCGACGCCACCUU